AGUGGUGCACCACAGCCCUCAAGGCGAUUUUCACGUUGGGUCUCGUCGUCUGGGUUUUUGCCUUGCUCAUGGAGGCCACGAAGUAGGGCGCCCUGGCGCUUGCCUGGAAAUUGAUGGAUCAUACAGACAAGACCGUAGACGCAAGCAGCGGGUCCACAAUACAGGCCUACUGCAGCAGCAGCGGUGGUGGCGGUAAUAACACACAGGCCAGCACAAGCCUCGCAGGCAUGGAGGAAGCAUCGGGCGUAUUGUGAAACGAAGCAAGGAAUGACACUGGAACCGGAGGAAGGGAACCGCAAGAGCUGUGCGUUGUCUGUGGAAAUGUUUGGAACAGACGGGAUGCCUUACACAGACACGCCAACGAACACACCCGCGACAGAGCCCAUAUUUGCAAAGGAUGUGAUCAAUCGUCUUUGAAGAAUUCGAAGUUUGUGGAACA